rnacentral:rRNA from 1 species
GUUGGUGGGGUAAUGGCUUACCAAGGCUAAGAAGUCUAGGCGGAUUGAGAGAUUGACCGUCAACACUGGGACUGAGAUACUGCCCAGACUCCUACGGGAGGCUGCAGUCGAGAAGCUUUCGCAAUGGACGCAAGUCUGACGAAGCGACGCUACGUGAGUGAUGAAGGCCUUAGGGUUGUAAAGCUCUUUCGCCCAUGAAGAAAAGCAGAGGACUAAUAAUCCUUUUGCUCUGACAUUAGUGGGUAAAGAAGCACCGGCUAACUCCGUGCCAGCAGCUGCGGUAAUACGGAGGGUGCAAGCGUUAAUCGGAUUUACUGGGA